CGCCUGGUAGCGGGGGAGUAACUAUUGGAAACGAUAGCUAAUACCGCAUAAUAUUGAUUAUUGCAUGAUAAUUGAUUGAAAGAUGCUAUUGCAUCACUACCAGAUGGACCUGCGUUGUAUUAGCUAGUAGGUGAGGUAACGGCUCACCUAGGCGACGAUACAUAGCCGACCUGAGAGGGUGAUCGGCCACACUGGGACUGAGACACGGCCCAG
rnacentral:rRNA from 1 species